rnacentral:rRNA from 1 species
UACGUAGGGUGCGAGCGUUUAAUCGGAAUUACUGGGCGUAAAGUGUGCGCAGGCGGCCGAGCAAGUCGAGUGUGAAAUCCCCGGGCUUAACCUGGGAACUGCAUUUGUGACUGCAUGGCUGGAGUGCGGCAGAGGGGAUGGAAUUCCGCGUGUAGCAGUGAAAUGCGUAGAUAUGCGGAGGAACACCGAUGGCGAAGGCAAUCCCCUGGGCCUGCACUGACGCUCAUGCACGAAAGCGUGGGAGCAAACAGG